rnacentral:tRNA from 1 species
GGUCCUGUAGUGUAGCGGUUAUCACGUCGCCCUGUCACGGCGAAGAUCGCGGGUUCGAUUCCCGUCAGGACCG